UUUAGGUUUAGGUUUUAGGUUAAGGUUAAGGUUAUAGGUUUAGGUUUGGGUUUAGAUUUUAGGUUUAGGUUAGGGUAUGAGUUAAGGUUUAGAGAAUUGAUAAUAGGUUAAGGUUUAGGUUUAGGAAAUCGGGUUCGGGUUUAGGUUUAGGUUUAGGUUUAGGUUUUAGGUUAAGGUUAAGGUUAUAGGUUUAGGUUUGGGUUUAGAUUUUAGGUUUAGGUUAGGGUAUGAGUUAAGGUUUAGAGAAUUGAUAAUAGGUUAAGGUUUAGGUUUAGGAAAUCGGGUUCGGGUUUAGGUUUAGGUUUAAGUUUAGGUUUUAAGUUAAGGUUAAGGUUAUAGGUUUAGGUUUGGGUUUAGG